GGCCCCUGCACACCCCCACAGCCCAACUCACAGCCCCUGCCCUUGCUUUUAGGGCUCCACGCUCACUCACUUGUCUUUCCUGGGAAACUCUGAGCUCCUGUCUUUUCCAGGUUCUCCACACCAGCUUCUCCUCUGCCUGUUGGGGAAGACAGGCUCCUGCUUGAAGUCAAAGUGACUGGGAAAGCCCAUCACGCCCCCUCCACUUUCUCCACAUGAACCUAUUGGAUCCAGCAUCAAUGGAUUCAUGGGAAUCAGACCAUAAAUGAGUGAACAGAUGCUGUGACUGGCAGCUGCAGAGACCAGCUGAGCUCUCAAGUCUCUGGGCCAUGGGAGCUUUGCAGUCAUAGUCAUUUGGAUACUGUGACCAGGGAUCUUGCUUAGGAGUCUGUACCCAAAGCACUGAGUGCCCAUCUGCAGCGGAUCCUGGCAAAUGACUCUGGAGUGUUUCACUUAUGAGCAAAAAGAGCAAAGAUGCUCAGUCUUUGAAGAUGGGAAGAAUUAAAACUUCAACUUGGUUCAACGAGAGUCUGUCCUCAGGACUGGGAAAGCCCAUCACGCCCUCUCCACUUUCUCCACAUGAACCUAUUGGAUCCAGCAUCUAUGGAUUCAUGGGAAUCAGACCAUAAAUGAGUGAACAGAUGCUGUGACUGGCAGCUGCAGAGACCAGCUGAGCUCUCAAGUCUCUGGGCCAUGGAGAGGUAUGUGUGAUAUCUAUGUAUUUGCAUAUCCAUAUCCUUCUCCUGAUAACCAGAUGCAAAGACAAAAC